CAGACGACCACGUUGAUAGGCCGGAAGUGUAAGUGCAGCAAUGCAUUCAGCUGACCGGUACUAAUCGGCCGAGGGCUUGGAGUU
rnacentral:rRNA from 1 species